UUUUAAUACACCACAGCAAUAACAAGUUGAGUUAUCUCAACACAAAGUAAUAACAAUGGUCACUACAAAUAUGAAAUACUGGUCCUGGAUGGGCGUAUUUUCUCUGUCGAUGCUCUUCUGGGCCGAACUUCUCUGGCUCGUUACUCACUGAUCUCCGCCCCCGCUGUGGCGGGGUUUUCUU
rnacentral:sRNA from 1 species